GACGAACGCUGGCGGCGUGCUUAACACAUGCAAGUCGAACGGAAAGGCCCUGCUUUUGUGGGGUGCUCGAGUGGCGAACGGGUGAGUAACACGUGAGUAACCUGCCCUUGACUUUGGGAUAACUUCAGGAAACUGGGGCUAAUACCGGAUAGGAGCUCCUGCUGCAUGGUGGGGGUUGGAAAGUUUCGGCGGUUGGGGAUGGACUCGCGGCUUAUCAGCUUGUUGGUGGGGGUGUGGCUUACCAAGGCUUUGACGGGUAGCCGGCCUGAGAGGGUGACCGGCCACAUUGGGACUGAGAUACGGCCCAGACUCCUACGGGAGGCAGCAGUGGGGAAUAUUGCACAAUGGGCGGAAGCCUGAUGCAGCAACGCCGCGUGCGGGAUGACGGCCUUCGGGUUGUAAACCGCUUUCGCCUGUGACGAAGCGUGAGUGACGGUAAUGGGUAAAGAAGCACCGGCUAACUACGUG
rnacentral:rRNA from 1 species